rnacentral:rRNA from 1 species
GCCAAACAACUAGCUUAAUUAACAAAAUAAUUUUUCAUUAUAAAUAAAAAAGAUUUAACAAAACAAAUUAACUAAACCAUUCUUAACCCUAGUAUGGGAGACAAAAAGGGCCACACAAAGCAAUAGAAAAAGUACCGCAAGGGAAAGUUGAAAGAGAAAUGAAACAACUCAUAUAAGCCGUAAAAAACAAAGACUAAACCUUGUACCUUUUGCAUCAUGAUUUAGCCAGUCCACCCAAGCAAAGAGACCUUUAGUUUGAAACCCCGAAACCAAGUGAGCUACCCCGAGACAGCCUAUUAAUAUAGGGCUAACCCGUCUCUGUGGCAAAAGAGUGGGAAGAACUCCGGGUAGUGGUGACAAGCCUACCGAACUUGGUGAUAGCUGGUUGUCUAGGAAAUAAAUAUAAGUUUAGCCUCGUACGCCCGCAACCAAAACCGCCAAAAAGACACAGGAAAUACACGAGAGUUAGUUUAAGGAGGUACAGCCCCUUAAACAAAGGACACAACCUUUAAAGGAGAAUAAAGAUCAUAUUACCAAAAAUACUUUGCCAAGUGGGCCUGAAAGCAGCCAUCUAAAUAGAAAGCGUUAAAGCUCAAGCAAACAGAAAUUUAUUAUACCGAUAAACAAUCUUACUUCCCCAAAAAUACUAGACUAUUCUAUGCACCCAUAGAAGAAAUUAUGCUAAAAUGAGUAACAAGAAGAACUUAACCUUCUCCCAGCAUAAGUGUAAGUCAGACCGGACCCACCACUGACAAUUAGCGAACCCAAAUAAAGAGGGUAAUAUGACAAACAUAAUAAACAAGAAAACCCCAUAUUUUACAAUCGUUACCCCUACACAGAGCUCACAAAGGAAAGACUUAAAGAUAAGGAAGGAACUCAGCAAACUCAAGCCUCGCCUGUUUACCAAAAACAUCACCUCCUGCAACCCUCAGCAUAGGAGGCCAAGCCUGCCCAGUGACCACAAGUUUAACGGCCGCGGUAUUUUAACCGUGCAAAGGUAGCGCAAUCACUUGUCCUUUAAAUGGGGACCCGUAUGAAUGGCUAAACGAGGGCUUAACUGUCUCCCUUUUCUAGUCAGUGAAAUUGAUCUAUCCGUGCAGAAGCGGAUAUUUAUACAAGACGAGAAGACCCUUUGGAGCUUUAGGUACAAGACUUAAUCAUGUAAAACAAAUUUUAAUAAACUUUUUAACCUAAUGAACUGUAAGACUUUACCUUCGGUUGGGGCGACCACGGAGAAAAAAACAGCCUCCCAGUGGAAUGGGUAAUACCCAAAACCAAGAUAUACAUAUCCAAGUAACAGAACAUCUGACCAAAUAUGACCCGGUUACAAACCGAUCAACGAACCAAGUUACCCAAGGGAUAACAGCGCAAUCCCCUCCCAGAGCCCGUAUCGACGAGGGGGUUUACGACCUCGAUGUUGGAUCAGGACAUCCUAAUGGUGCAGCCGCUAUUAAGGGUUCGUUUGUUCAACGAUUAAAGUCCUACGUGAUCUGAGUUCAGACCGGAGUAAUCCAGGUCAGUUUCUAUCUGUAACGCCACUUAUCCUAGUACGAAAGGACCGGAAAAGAAGGGCCAACCCAGCAAGUGCGCCCUACCCCAAAUUAAUGAACCAAAAUAAAUUAAAAAAGGGUGGCAUA